rnacentral:snRNA from 1 species
GUGCUCGCUUCAGCAGCACAUAUCCUAAAAUUGGAAGGAUACAGAGGAGAUUAGCAUGGCCUUGUGCAUUCUGACACUUAAAGAAUUCCGGUGGCUUGCAAAUGCUU